GUUCUUGAGUUUCUUUCUAUUAGAAAAAUGAUGAACAGAUCGGUUGCUUUUUCCGCGCUCGUUCUUAUCCUUUUGGUGCUCACUGUCUCUGAUAUCACAAGCGUGAGAGGGCAACGAUGUAUGAGAGUUAGCAGGACAUGGGCAGGCCCCUGCCGUUACGACCAAUGGUGCAACCGGCAAUGUAGAUUAUGGGAGAUUGCAGCUGGCGGAGCGUGUCAAACGGGUGCAUGUAUCUGCUACUACUUCUGUCCAAAAGCUGAAAAACACACUCAACACAAAUCUAAUGCCCAAAAUCGUGAUAGUGAUGAUGCCAAGAAAGUUGUUCCUAAUGUUGAGCAUCCAUGAAUGGGUUGGUUUCUUCAAAUAGAAAGUUUUAGUAUGCGAAUGGAAAUAAAAGUAGAAAGAGUUUACUCAUUGUCACAUUAUGAACUUCUUAAAAGAUGUAUGCAUUUUCUAGUAAUA